UAGCCAAUUGACAUGUGAAUUUCUGAAAAUCUAGUAGACUGAAUCCUACUCAUGUUGUUAAUUCUCUUUCUGAAUUUUCCCUGCACUUUUUCUCAACUUCAGGAAGAGAAGUAAGGUUAUGCCAGUCUUAGAGCAUAAUAGCUCAUUUUCUCCGAUGGAAAACUCAAAGCACAGCAGGAAAUUUAUUUUGUUCUUAUCAUCAGAACAGUGA
rnacentral:lncRNA from 1 species